UACGUAGGGUGCGAGCGUUGUCCGGAAUUAUUGGGCGUAAAGGGCUCGUAGGCGGUCUGUUGCGUCGGUAGUGAAAACUCAGGGCUUAACCCUGAGCCUGCUUCCGAUACGGGCAGACUAGAGGUAUGCAGGGGAGAACGGAAUUCCUGGUGUAGCGGUGAAAUGCGCAGAUAUCAGGAGGAACACCGGUGGCGAAGGCGGGUCUCUGGGCAGUAACUGACGCUGAGGAGCGAAAGCGUGGGGAGCGAACAGG
rnacentral:rRNA from 1 species